rnacentral:lncRNA from 1 species
GAGAGAAUUACAUGCUUCAACUGAAAGUCGCUCAGAGACCUUCUGUGAAAGGAAUUUCUGACCAGAGGAAACGGGACACCAGGAAAAAUGGAAACCCGGUUGUUUACUUGGAAGUGAGAAGAAGCAGGUCUCCUCCAAGUGAUGAGCCUGGCUGUGCUCCACUCAGCCCUGCCAGAGUGAGUGACCACGGAGUGGAAUCCCAACUUACCCGUUCACAGAUAGGGGUCUCUCCUUCACAACUUCCAAAGUGUUGUUUAAGGGGGUUCCCUGUUUUCAACCUGGAUUUCCUUCCAGUUUCUCUAUUCGUCAGAGGUACUUUUUCCAGUAACCCAAUUGUAAAUAUUAAAAAUCAAUGUAAAUACAAAACAAAAAUGAUUUUUUCAGAGUAUAAAACUGAUGCAUGGGAAUUUUAAAGUAAAUA